AUUUACAACCAUACUACCCUGACCUUGCUCAAUCUUGUCUAAUCUUAGAAGUUAAGCAGGGUCAGGCUGGGUUAGAACUUGAAUGGGAGAGGGGGAGUUUUGCUUUGAAAAUG
rnacentral:rRNA from 1 species